rnacentral:piRNA from 1 species
UUCCAAGUGGCAGUUCCCCAUUGGC